rnacentral:tRNA from 1 species
GCGCGGGUGGUGAAACGGUAGACACGCCUGCCUUAGGAGCAGGUGCCGCAAGGCAUGGAGGUUCAAGUCCUCUCUCGCGCA